ACCAUAAGAACUGUUGAGAGAAUAUGGGAAAGAGCUCUUAAACAGAUUGAACAAGGGGAGAAAGUUGAUGUCUCAAAUCAAAAGCCAGGUAGAGUUGGCCGCAAGCGGAAAGAUUUGGAUCUGUCGAGGGUGGUGACAAUCCCAUUGAACAGAAGGAGAACAUUGCGAGGUCUGUCA
rnacentral:rRNA from 1 species